rnacentral:rRNA from 1 species
AGUGAACGCUGGCGUUAGGCCUAACACAUGCAAGUCGAACGGCAGCACAGUAAGAGCUUGCUCUUACGGGUGGCGAGUGGCGGACGGGUGAGGAAUACAUCGGAAUCUACUUUUUCGUGGGGGAUAACGUAGGGAAACUUACACUAAUACCGCAUACGACCUACGGGUGAAAGCAGGGGAUCUUCGGACCUUGCGCGAUUGAAUGAGCCGAUGUCGGAUUAGCUAGUUGGCGGGGUAAAGGCCCACCAAGGCGACGAUCCGUAGCUGGUCUGAGAGGAUGAUCAGCCACACUGGAACUGAGACACGGUCCAGACUCCUACGGGAGGCAGCAGUGGGGAAUAUUGGACAAUGGGCGCAAGCCUGAUCCAGCCAUACCGCGUGGGUGAAGAAGGCCUUCGGGUUGUAAAGCCCUUUUGUUGGGAAAGAAAAGCAGCAGGUUAAUACCCCGCUGUUCUGACGGUACCCAAAGAAUAAGCACCGGCUAACUUCGUG